rnacentral:rRNA from 1 species
UACAGAGGGGGCAAGCGUUGUCCGGAGUUACUGGGCGUACAGCGCGCGCAGGCGGCCUGGGACGUGCCCUGUGACAGGCGGAGGCUCAACCUCCGAGGGUCAGGGUAGACGCUCAGGCUGGAGGCCGAGAGAGGGCAGUGGAAUACCCGGUGGAGCGGUGAAAUGCGUAGAGAUCGGGUGGAACACCAGGGGCGAAGGCGGCUGCCUGGCUCGGACCUGACGCUGAGGCGCGAGAGCGUGGGGAGCAAACCGG